rnacentral:lncRNA from 1 species
CGGCGGUGAUUAUGCGGCAGCGGCAACGGCGGGAUCAUUGUUGGGGCAGAAAAAUUUCUGGCGAAUGGAAUUUCCGAUUGAAGCUAGUUGGAGGAGAACAUCGUUGUAUCUAAAGCCCAGGACCAAGAUAAUAGGGAUUGACCAGGUCCACCCAACAAUUUUUGCGAAAUCAUGGUUCAAAAGUUUGACGAUGAAUCCCGAAAUCAAAGCAUUAAGCACCAUAAUAAUGAGCAUUUGGAGAACACGCUUGUUGUUUGGCCUGUCCAGAGAGGCAAAGAGAGUGAAGAAAAGAAAGGUCACGUGAAUGACUGCAACAACUGAUAUCACAGUGUGUUUAACACUUGUGUGCUCGUUCAGGUAUCGCAAAACAUCUUUGUCAAGUUGAGAACAGAGUAGAGCACCAAAUGCCAUAACAACUCUCACACAGAUAGAUUCAAAGAUCUGAAAACGCUCCCUCAUCUCAACAUGAGGGUCUUCAAGAGUCUGGACAACAGCCAUUGAAAUUUGAAAGUUUCUUCCGACUCCGGCUUCCAUUGGUUUGUGUUUGUGUUUGUGUUCUCUGUCUGAUUGAAAUAAUUUCGAAUUUUUUGUUUUGUGAAUGCAAGCUGAGUCUUGGUAGUAGUUUUAUAGAGGGUAAUAGUACGCUGCUUCAUUGCUAUUGUUGUUACGGGAAAAGGUGGGAUGGUGGUGGUGGAGUGAAUUUGAUUUUUUUUUGUUUUUGAGGAAAAGAUAGUACUGCUUUAUAUGAUGGUUUAUCUAGCCUUGCCGAAUUUCAUUUUUUGACAAAAGGAUAAGGAUGGAAUGAUGAUUGGUUAAAAGUACACUGUGUCAUGUUUGCAUUUUUCAAGGGUUGGUGAAAUUAUUUUGUCCCAAAGAUAUCAUAUAAUUACCUAGGUAGGAAAUGGAUGGAUGGACCUAUGGUCCUUGAAACAUGAAAUUACAUAAAAUAAAAUAAAAAAACCUAAUAAGAUAAAAUGGUGGUUUUGUUAGAGGAGGAGGAGGAGGUGGUGGUGGCGGCUGUAACACCCCGUUUUCCCAACAUAAAAAUUUCAUACAAAAAUCAGAGUUUUCAACAUAAACGGAAUGUCACACUUCUUUUCAAAAAACGUAAAUGGAAUAAAUAACUAUUUAUCCUUCAUAAAUCAAUAACAUAAUAUUUAAUACUUCGCAGCGGAAUUUAUUCAACAUCUAGAAUAGUCUUUGACACGAAGGCCUCAUUAAAAUAUCUCAUAAAAAUCCAAUUAACAACUUAAUCUUGUAAAUUCAUAAACAAUACGUAAGGAAUAGAAAAACAUGCAACAAAAAUUCUCAUCCCUUUACGUAUCAGAGCACCUAAAGACACACGCGAGAGAAACCUCACACAACCGCAAGUAUUCUUGGUUACCUGCUAGUUAUCCAUUGUGGGCAACAUUUAAAUAGAAGGGGUGAGAUUUCACAAAACAAUAAUAUUAAACAUAUAAUUCAAUAAAUUAUAUUUAACAACAUGAAAACAUCAUAAUAUUCAUCAUAGAUAAUAAUAUAUCAUAUAUCACAUCAUUAAUAGUUCAAAUAAAGAAUCACAGCAUAAACAACUUGACAACUUAACACUUUUGACUCGACAAAUGCGACUCCAACUCGACUAUGUAACUUAGACCUCUUAUAUGCAUGUGGUACCAAUACAGAGCAUCAAGCCCCCAUCGCUAUUUGAGUAUUAAUNAACAUUUACUUAUAUUUGCUGAAAUAAAUUAACAAUUGUCCCAACAUACAUUAAAGAAGUUAGGGAACAAAAUACAUAGGAUUAGGGAGCUUGAAUGUACGGUUUCCGGAAGAGUUUCCUUGGAGAUCACUCCAUUGGUCCCCUACAUUUCCCCAUAUUUUGUAACCUUCAUCCUCUAAUUGCUUCCUUAUAUUGGAUUUAUACAUUACUGCACUUUGCCCUUUAUAUGCUGCUGUCCUGUAAAUUAAUUAUAUGAUCCAGGACUAAUUAAUCAACUUUUUUAAAAUGUGACAAUUAUAAUCAUACAAUAUACCAACAAUGAAAUAAUUCAAAUGGUAAGAAGUAUGUGCUCUUAAACAAUUGAUCAGAAGUUCGACCUCUAACUCUUAAAUAUGUCUCUUAUAGAAAUUAAUCAUCAUUAAACGGCGAUGAAAACUUCAUAAAGAAAAUAUUAAUGACAUGUAUCCAUGGGUCUUACCUCAUAAUGAGUCUUUCGUAUGCAAUGAAUCCUUGAUUGUGCAAAUUGUCAACAGUAACUUGACCAAGUGAUUCUUGAUCUCUUCCAGUCAGGAGUAUUACCUUAAAUCCAUUAUCUAUCAACUUGUUAAAUAGCUUUAAUACCGGAGGAAUUGCUGUGCACCAUCCUUUAACUGCCCAUGCCCUAAACGCAGGUGGAUCAUAUGGCUCACACCUAUAUGUAUAUAUUUCAGAUUUUACUAUAGUUAAAAAAAGGAUUUUUCUAUCAUGUGCAAAUUUGCACAUGAUAAGAAAUUUAAAGUAGUAACUUUGACUUGAAACUUAUGCAUUUAUAUUAAAUAUGUAAAUUUUUAGUAAUUAAUUGUUAGUUUUCAAUGAAAAGUUACUACUUUUACUUUCCUUAACAUGUGCAAUAUUACACAUGUUAGACAAACCCAAAAAUUUCCUUAAAAAAAUAGGGUUAAAUAAGUUUUUGGUACUAUAAAUAUACUAUUUUUUUGUUUUUGGUCCUCUUAAAAAUUUUCUUUAAUUAAUGGUUUCUAAAUGCUUGACAUCAACAAAUUUGGUCCUCUUUGACGAAAAACAUUCAAAGGUCCAUGGUUGGACCUUUUUUGAAAGGGUGCAUAUUAUGGUGUGUGCGUAGUAAGAACAUAAUGAGAUUAUGAAAUGCUGACUUGGCGGGCUGAGUGACAUGCUGACUGUGCAUAUCUGAUUAUGUGGCGUGCUGACUGUAUAAUUAUUUUUUUUUUAUUUAUUUAAAAAUAUAUAUAAAAAUUAAAAAAAAUCAGAAUUUUUUUUAUUACGAAAAAUAUUUUCUGAAAUAUUAAUUUUUCGAAAAUUCCAAAAUUUAUAAUUUACGAAAAAUAUAUAUUUCAAAAUUUUUUAAAAUUAUUUUCGAAAAUGUUAAAAUAUAUAUUUCAAAAAAAAAAAUUCAAAAUUAUUUUCGAAAAUUUGGAAUAUAUUUUUUGAAGUUUAAAACAUAUUUUUUUUCGAAAAAUAAGUUUUUAAAAUUUUCUCAACAAAAAAAAAAUCUGGAUACAAAUUAAUUUAAAAAUUUAGGAAAAUUUAGAUUUUUAUUAUGAUGUGUUACAGAUUUGAGAAUAUUUUUUAAUAUUUAAAAAUUGAGGAUAAAAAAAUCUGGAAAUUUUUUUAAUAUUUAAAUUUAAUCUUAUCUAUUUGUUACAUGUGUUAUUUGUAUUGAAAAUUGUGGGCAUUUUUGAAAAGAAACAGCCAACCCAAAAGCUAAAAGGGGUUGUUUUCUUUAUAUAUAUUUCCAAAAAUAUUAUAUAUAAAAAAUUCAUACACUUACUAUAUUUUGAAACUUUCGAAAAAUUAAAAAAAAAUUCCAAAUUAAAUUAAAAUUUUAAAAAUAUUCGAGAAAAAUAAUAUAAGCUAAUUUUUGAAUGUUUUGGUAAAAAAAUUAAUAUUUUUAUUUUUUGAAAAAAAAUCCAAUUUUUUUUUUCUUCGUUUUUUAAAAAAAUUGUUUUUUUCUUUCUUGAUUUUAAAUUUUUGAAAAUGAAUUUUCAGUUUUUUUUAUCUUUUUAAAAAUAAUUUAUUAAACCAUUACACACAUGUUAAAUUUAAAAUAAAUAAAAAAUUAAAAUAAUUACACAGUGGCGUGCCACAUCAGCGUCUGAAUGGGGUCAAAGGUGUUUUGUGGAGAAUCUUCAUAUUACAAGGGUGUUUUGUGGAGAAUCUUUAUAUUAUAGGGUUGGAAUCUAAACUUUUUUUUUUACAGGGGGGAAAACCGGAACUCGCCCAAAUUACAGAGGGGGUAAAGACAUAUUAACCCAAAUUAAAAACACAAAUCCAAAACUUAAACUUACAAAACAGAAAAUAAAAAGGAAUGGAUGGAUGGACCUAUGGUCCUUCAAACAUGAAAUUCCAUAAAAUAAAAUAAAAACCUAAUAAGAUAAAAUGGUGGUUUUGUUAGAGGAGGAGGAGGAGGUGGUGGUGGCGGCGGCGGCGGUGAAGAGCGGCGGUGAUUAUGCGGCAGCGGCAACGGCGGGAUCAUUGUUGGGGCAGAAAAAUUUCUGGCGAAUGGAAUUUCCGAUUGAAGCUAGUUGGAGGAGAACAUCGUUGUAUCUAAAGCCCAGGACCAAGAUAAUAGGGAUUGACCAGGUCCACCCAACAAUUUUUGCGAAUUCAUGGUUCAAAAGUUUGACGAUGAAUCCCGAAAUCAAAGCAUUAAGCACCAUAAUAAUGAGCAUUUGGAGAACACGCUUGUUGUUUGGCCUGUCCAGAGAGGCAAAGAGAGUGAAGAAAAGAAAGGUCACGUGAAUGACUGCAACAACUGAUAUCACAGUGUGUUUAACACUUNNN